rnacentral:rRNA from 1 species
UGCCAUAGCCUUAUCACCCUGCCGCGUUAGCCUGGUAUCCCACUGAAGCUAAGUAAGGUUGAGCCUGGCCAGUACCUGGAUGGGAGACCUCCUGGGGAAAAAAAGUUCCCCAGUAUAGUAA